UACGUAGGGGGCGAGCGUUGUCCGGAGUUACUGGGCGUAAAGGGCAUGUAGGCGGUCUACCAAGUUCGGAGUGACAGUCACCAGCUUAACUGGUGAAGGUCUUCGAAAACUGGCGGACUUGAGAGCGAAAGAGGGACACGGAAUUCCGGGUGGAGCAGUGAAAUGCGUAGAGAUCCGGAGGAACACCAAAGGCGAAGGCAGUGUCCUGGCUCGUUUCUGACGCUGAGGUGCGAAAGCCAGGGGAGCGAACGGG
rnacentral:rRNA from 1 species